rnacentral:lncRNA from 1 species
UGCCGUUGACAUUGAGUAUCAGUCGUUCCAGGCUAUGGGUAGCGAGUACACGGUGCCGAAAUAUAUGAUGGAAUAGGUCGUAGGGAUGUGGCCGAGUGUCGGUGGGAAGCCAUGGGAUGGCUGUACGCAUAUGUACGUACCAGUAUGUCUGAAUCAUCACUACAUUGCAGUGGAAAUCGUAUUCGCCGACUUCACGAUGUAUGUGUACGACCCCGAUCAUUCAUGCCUGACACAAGGCCAGCUCGAGCAAAAUCUAGAGUCGCUGUCUGUGAUCGUUCC